rnacentral:sRNA from 2 species
AUCUAAACCCGAUAUACGCGAAUGCUGGUUUCUUCAACCAGCAGCAGCAUUAGCGGGACUAACC